ensembl:ncRNA ZK792.10 ncRNA
AGUGCGGUCCCCACCAUGCCGCUGCUACUGCUGCUACUGCUACGGCGGGACAAUUAGAGAGCACUAGAAACGGUGAUGCAUAGACACGAACGACCGCGACGCGACAGCCGCUACGCUUUUGACGGUUUUGCGACGACUGUUGGGAGAAG